rnacentral:rRNA from 1 species
AUUGAACGCUAGCGGGAUGCCUUACACAUGCAAGUCGAACGGAGUGGCGAACGGGUGAGUAAUGUAUAGGAACGUGCCCAGUAGCGGGGGAUAACUACGCGAAAGAGUAGCUAAUACCGCAUACUAUUAGAGCGGCCGAUAUCGGAUUAGCUAGUUGGGGGGGUAACGGAUCACCAAGUCGACGAUCCGUAGCUGGUUUGAGAGGACGACCAGCCACAUUGGGACUGAGACACGGCCCAGACUCCUACGGGAGUCAGCAGUGGGGAAUUUUGGACAAGUGGCGAAACCCUGAUCCAGCCAUCCCGCGUGUGCGAUGAAGGCCUUCGGGUUUUAAAGCACUUUUGGCAGGACAGCGGUACCUGCAGAAUAAGCACCGGCUAACUCCGUGCCAGCCGCCGCGGUAAUUC